rnacentral:rRNA from 1 species
AUUGAACGCUGGCGGCAGGCCUAACACAUGCAAGUCGAGCGGAUGAAGGGAGCUUGCUCCUGGAUUCAGCGGCGGACGGUUGGUUAAUGCCUAGGAUCUUGCCUGGUGGUGGGGGUUAAGUCCGGAAAACGGGCCCAAUUCCCCCAUACGCCCUGAGGGGGAAGGUGGGGGUUUUUCGGACUCACCCCUUCCGGAUGACCCUAGGUCGGAUUAGCUAGUUGGUGGGGUAAAGGCCUACCAAGGCGACGAUCCGUAACUGGUCUGAGAGGAUGAUCAGUCACACUGGAACUGAGACACGGUCCAGACUCCUACGGGAGGCAGCAGUGGGGAAUAUUGGACAAUGGGCGAAAGCCUGAUCCAGCCAUGCCGCGUGUGUGAAGAAGGUCUUCGGAUUGUAAAGCACUUUAAGUUGGGAGGAAGGGCAGUAAGUUAAUACCUUGCUGUUUUGACGUUACCAACAGAAUAAGCACCGGCUAACUUCGUG